AGAAUUUCCUACAGACGUAAAGUGUUUGGAUGAGCCAUAUUAUUGCCUUUUGUUCUGAAGAAAUACCCUAUGUGGAAGUGAUUUUGACUGGCAUACACCAGUGAGAAACAUGGCCCGGUCAAGAUACAGGACAAAUAUUAAAGUACUGCUUAGGAAUCAUCAUAUGUGUCCUGCUGACCCAUGAAUUUGUUGCGGAAACACUUGAUUUCCCAGAAGCAAGUAUAGAUUUAGAGUUUAGCUACAUAGAUGGUCAACUGCAUCAUAGAAUACCAAGAUAGCCUUGCAGGU